rnacentral:rRNA from 1 species
CCUACGGGUGGCUGCAGUAGGGAAUCUUCGGCAAUGGACGAAAGUCUGACCGAGCAACGCCGCGUGAGUGAAGAAGGUUUUCGGAUCGUAAAACUCUGUUGGUAGAGAAGAACGUUGGUGAGAGUGGAAAGCUCAUCAAGUGACGGUAACUACCCAGAAAGGGACGGCUAACUACGUGCCAGCAGCCGCGGUAAUACGUAGGUCCCGAGCGUUGUCCGGAUUUAUUGGGCGUAAAGCGAGCGCAGGUGGUUUAUAAGGUCGGGUGGAAAAGGGACUGGUUAAACCGUGGUGUGCAUUGGAAACUGAGAGACUUGAGUGCGGGAGAGGAGAGUGGAAUUCCAUGUGUAGCGGUGAAAUGCGUAGAUAUGUGGAGGAACACCGGAGGCGAAGGCGGCUCUCUGGCCUGUAACUGACACUGAGGCUCGAAAGCGUGGGGAGCAAACAGGAUUAGAUACCCGGGUAGUC